GUGGUGAUUGGAAGGUGGGUGUGUCGUGUGACGUAAGAAUUUACCUGGAGUCUGUUGUAUGAUCAUUGUGGUGCAUUGAGGUAAUUAGUUCACGCAGGUGUGGUGAUUUAGGGGUGAUGGGCCAAGUAGCAUUUCAGUAGUCGCGAGUCACUGGUGUGGUUUGUAGUCAGAGGGUGUCUGCACAUUCUGUGAACACUGUGGAUGAGAGCUAGGCACAGCACAUAGUGGAGCCAGUUUUGGGUUGGUGACAGCCAGUUUUUGGACGCUUGACCCGAAGGGACGUUGCUGUGAUCGAACUAUUGCAAAGCAGUGACAACGCCUGUUCAUUCAUCGCAGGGGUGCGGCUUGCAGUUGCCCUCUGCAAAGUUAAGUGUAUUGACUUCGUCGUAAUUGUUGUGGGACUACAGCUUGCCAUUGCGAAGCUGUUGCCUGCUGAUCGUGCUUCUACUAUACUCUAGCGAAGGAGUGUCGUCCUGGUAUCCAACUUGAGCCGGCCGCCGCUACGAACCAGCCUGCUGUGGGAAUACUAACACGCCUGACUAUUCACCUCGGGGGUGCGGUUUACAUAAGCCGCCCUCUGCCAACGGAUCUUUGCUAUUGGUCCGUCUGGUGUCUGCCUGCGGCUCACCCGCCCCUAGCUGUCAGUCACGAACCAAGACCCUGCCCUCCCGCAAGCCAGCAUGUGUGUGCGCAGCCGGUUCUAAUUGCCUCUCCCGCUCCACUUGAACUGUGCAGUGCCAUAAUUGCUGCUCAUCCCGUCACUGCCAUACCUUGGAUUGUGGAUUUUAUCACGAAUAGACUGAGUAUUUUUAAACAAGAGUUGACUGCUGUCUCAAUAUAAAAAAAUAAAUAUUUAUCUUUUCUAAAGGCUA